AGAAGCAUGCAGCAGAAUAGUCACUUGCUGGAUGCAGAGUGUUGAGAACAGAUUAUGUAAGCUUGAACAGCUCACUGACAGUAGCCUCACAGAAGCUCUCUUUUCCACCAACUUGAUUGAACAAGACGGGCCAGGUCCCAUCCUUAUCCCUGGAACCUCAUUUCUUGCAGUUGGAUCCGUCUCCAAAUAACUUAAGUGAAAGUCAGGGAAAAAGUGAAAAUGAUGACAC